rnacentral:lncRNA from 1 species
AUUCCCCGCCAAAGAUUGUACCCUUUGUAUUCUGAGCAUUAGUAUAUGACAGCUCCUGUUUACCUGAAGUCUCACCUACAGAUUGUGACCAAACAUGGAGAUUUUUGUUUACUUGCUAAUGAAUUUUGCCAUGUAAGAGGUUUUUUGGUUUGUUUUGAGACAGGGUCUCCCUCUGUCGCACAGGUAGAGACGGGGUUUCAUCAUGUUGCCAGGCUGGUCUCAAACUCCUGACCUCAGGUGAUCCGCCCACCGUGGCCACCCAAAGUGCUGGGAUUACAGUGGCUCGAUCUCGGCUCACUGCAACCUCUGCUUCCCAAGCUCAAGUGAUUCUCCUGCCUUGGCCUCCUGAGUAGCUGGGACUACAGGCAUGCACCACUAUGCCUGGCUAAUUUUUGUAUUUUUUGUAGAGACAGGGUCUCCCUGUGUUGCCCAGGCUGGUCUCAAACUCCUGGGCUCAAAUGAUCGAUCCUCCCUCCUUGGCCUCCCAAAGAGCUGGA